rnacentral:rRNA from 1 species
UACGGGGGGGAGCAAGCGUUGUUCGGAUUUACUGGGCGUAAAGCGUGCGCAGGCGGUUCGUUAAGUCAGCUGUGAAAAGCCCCCGGGCUCAACCUGGGAAUUGCGGUUGAAACUGGCGAACUAGAAUCUGGCAGAGGGGGUGGGAAUUCCACGUGUAGCAGUGAAAUGCGUAGAAGAUGUGGAGGAACACCGAUGGCGAAGGCAGCCCCUGGGCUGAGCAUUGACGCUCAGGCACGAAAGCGUGGGGGAGCAAACAGGG